UAUGGGUCUUAGGUUCAACAGACAGAACUACUGGCGAGGGAGUAGUUGCCAGACAAAAGCCUCCCUGUCUCAGUAUAGGUUAGAGUGGGGCAAUGUUCAGGGAAAGGCUGGUUAACCAACCCAGCAUGUAAUUGAGUCUGUCCUUUUCUCUGUUCUACUAAUGAUUCAUUAAGCAGACUGUACCGCUCACUGCGAUCCAGACUCAUGACUUCAAAUCAAACAGAGGAGGCCAAUUUCUGCAAAGUGUGGGAAGGAAACAGCCAGUGCCCUCGGCGCGACCAGGGCUGGCUACAGAGGCAGGAACCCUGCAAUUGCUUUUCUCUGGACAAAAUACUUUUGGAAAACUACAGCUGCCGGUCUAGACGGAACACAGGGCUGGACACGGAACUCAAGUCACUGUAUAUGGUUAACAAGUGUUUUACCAAUAUGGAGAUAUGAAACUGCUUCGGACUGUCCACAGCAACUGACUAUGAUUUGCCUCGUGCUCUAGCAGAGGAUACAUGAGAAGUCUGGCUGCCCCCCAACCAAGAAGAGAGCCCUGGCCAUCUGGAUAGGCUGCCCUGUAAUCUUCUUGACCAUCCCAGCUUCCAGAACUGUGAGAAAUAAAUAUUUGUUCUUGUU
rnacentral:lncRNA from 1 species